GACGAACGCUGGCGGCGUGCUUAACACAUGCAAGUCGAACGGAAAGGCCCUGCUUUUGUGGGGUGCUCGAGUGGCGAACGGGUGAGUAACACGUGAGUAACCUGCCCUUGACUUUGGGAUAACUUAAGGAAACUGGGGCUAAUACCGGAUAGGAGCUCCUGCUGCAUGGUGGGGGUUGGAAAGUUUCGGCGGUUGGGGAUGGACUCGCGGCUUAUCAGCUUGUUGGUGGGGUAGUGGCUUACCAAGGCUUUGACGGGUAGCCGGCCUGAGAGGGUGACCGGCCACAUUGGGACUGAGAUACGGCCCAGACUCCUACGGGAGGCAGCAGUGGGGAAUAUGGCACAAUGGGCGGAAGCCUGAUGCAGCAACGCCGCGUGCGGGAUGACGGCCUUCGGGUUGUAAACCGCUUUCGCCUGUGACGAAGCGUGAGUGACGGUAAUGGGUAAAGAAGCACCGGCUAACUACGUG
rnacentral:rRNA from 1 species